rnacentral:rRNA from 1 species
GAUGAACGCUGGCGGCGUGCCUAAUACAUGCAAGUCGAGCGAACAGACGAGGAGCUUGCUCCUAUGAUGUUAUCGGCGGACGGGUGAGUAACACGUGGUUAACCUACCUAUACGACUGGGAUAACUUCGGGAAACCGGAGCUAAUACCGGAUAACAUGUUGAACCGCAUGGUUCAACAGUGAAAGACGGUAUUGCUUUCACUUAUAGAUGGAUCCGCGCCGCAUUAGCUAGUUGGUAAGGUAACGGCUUACCAAGGCAACGAUGCGUAGCCGCCCUGAGAGGGAGGACGGACAGCCGGGAUCAGAGAAACGGCAGCGACUCCGACGGGAGGAAGCAGUAGAGAAUCCUCCGGAAUGGGCGAGAGGGUGACGGUGCAACGCCGCGUGAGUGAUGAAGGUCUUCGGAUCGUAAAACGCUGUUAUUCGGGAGGAUGAAAUGUGUAAGUACCUAUGCACGUCUUGACGGUACCUAAUCAGUAAGCCACGGCUAACUACGUG